AUUGAACGCUGGCGGAAUGCUUUACACAUGCAAGUCGAACGGCAGCACGGACUUCGGUCUGGUGGCGAGUGGCGAACGGGUGAGUAAUGUAUCGGAACGCGCCCAGUCGUGGGGGAUAACGUAGCGAAAGUUACGCUAAUACCGCAUACGAUCUAAGGAUGAAAGCGGGGGAUCGCAAGACCUCGCGCGAUUGGAGCGGCCGAUAUUAGAUUAGGUAGUUGGGGGGGUAAAGGCUCACCAAGCCAACGAUCUGUAGCUGGUCUGAGAGGACGACCAGCCACACUGGAACUGAGACACGGUCCAGACUCCUACGGGAGGCAGCAGUGGGGAAUUUUGGACAAUGGACGCAAGUCUGAUCCAGCCAUUCCGCGUGCAGGAUGAAGGCCCUCGGGUUGUAAACUGCUUUUGUACGGAACGAAAAGGUCUCUCUUAAUACGGGGGGCUCAUGACGGUACCGUAAGAAUAAGCACCGGCUAACUACGUGCCAGCCGCCGCUGUAA
rnacentral:rRNA from 1 species